AUACGUAGGGUGCAAGCGUUAAUCGGAAUUACUGGGCGUAAAGCGUGCGCAGGCGGUUUUGUAAGACAGUGGUGAAAUCCCCGGGCUCGACCUGGGAACUGCUAUUGUGACUGCAAGGCUGGAGUGCGGCAGAGGGGGAUGGAAUUCCGCGUGUAGCAGUGAAAUGCGUAGAUAUGCGGAGGAACACCGAUGGCGAAGGCAAUCCCCUGGGCCUGCACUGACGCUCAUGCACGAAAGCGUGGGGAGCAAACAGGAUUAGAUACCCUGGUAGUCCACGCCCUAAACGAUGUCAACUGGUUGUUGGGGAUUUAUUUUCUCAGUAACGAAGCUAACGCGUGAAGUUGACCGCCUGGGGAGUACGGCCGCAAGGUUAAAACUCAAAUGAAUUGGCGGGG
rnacentral:rRNA from 1 species